GACAGAGGGUGCAAACGUUGUUCGGAAUUACUGGGCGUAAAGCGCGUGUAGGCGGCUAAGUAAGUCGGGCGUGAAAUCCCACGGCUCAACCGUGGAAGUGCACUCGAAACUGCAUAGCUAGAGUCCUGGAGAGGAAGGUGGAAUGCUUGGUGUAGAGGUGAAAUUCGUAGAUAUCAAGCGGAACACCGGUGGCGAAGGCGGCCUUCUGGACAGUGACUGACGCUGAGACGCGAAGGCCAGGGGAGCAAACGGG
rnacentral:rRNA from 1 species